GAUGUAACGCUCGGCGGGCGGUGCCUACACAGUGCAAGUCGAACGAGGCAAGUAAGAGUGAAAGGUCUUCGGAAUGGAUUCUUAUUUACCGAGUGGCGGACGGGUGAGUAACGCGUGGGUAACCUGCCUCAUACAGGGGGAUAACGGUUAGAAAUGACUGCUAAUACCGCAUAAGCGCACAGUACCGCAUGGUACGGUGUGAAAAACUCCGGUGGUAUGAGAUGGACCCGCGUCUGAUUAGCUAGUUGGUGGGGUAACGGCCCACCAAGGCGACGAUCAGUAGCCGACCUGAGAGGGUGACCGGCCACAUUGGGACUGAGACACGGCCCAG
rnacentral:rRNA from 1 species